AGUGAACGCUGGCGGUAGGCCUAACACAUGCAAGUCGAACGGCAGCACAGUAAGAGCUUGCUCUUACGGGUGGCGAGUGGCGGAUGGGUGAGGAAUACAUCGGAAUCUACUUUUUCGUGGGGGAUAACGUAGGGAAACUUACGCUAAUACCGCAUACGACCUAAGGGUGAAAGUAGGGGAUCUUCGGACCUUGCGCGAUUGAAUGAGCCGAUGUCGGAUUAGCUAGUUGGCGGGGUAAAGGCCCACCAAGGCGACGAUCCGUAGCUGGUCUGAGAGGAUGAUCAGGCACACUGGAAAGGAGACACGGUGCAGACUAGUACGGGAGGCAGCAGGGGGGAAGAUGGGACAAUGGGGGAAAGCCUGAUCCAGCCAUGCCGCGUGUGUGAAGAAGGUCUUCGGAUUGUAAAGCACUUUAAGUUGGGAGGAAGGGAAGUAAGUUAAUACCUUGCUGUUUUGACGUUACCAACAGAAUAAGCACGGGCUAACUUCGUG
rnacentral:rRNA from 1 species